GCCAGGCGUGGUGGCUCACGCCUGUAAUCCCAGCACUCAGGAGGCUGAGGCAGGAGGAUCAUUGCGAGUUUGAGAGCAGCCUGUACUACAAAGUGAGCUCAAGGCCAGCCUGAACUGAUAGACUCUGUCUCAAAAUUAUAGAGUUAGGAUUUUGCUAUGCAGUUCAGGCUAGCCUUGAACUCACUUUGUAGCCCAGGCUGGCUCUGAACUCUCAGCAAUGCUCCUACCUCC
rnacentral:sRNA from 1 species